rnacentral:rRNA from 1 species
ACUCCUACGGGAGGCAGCAGUGGGGAAUAUUGCACAAUGGGGGAAACCCUGAUGCAGCGACGCCGCGUGAGCGAUGAAGUAUUUCGGUAUGUAAAGCUCUAUCAGCAGGGAAGAAAAUGACGGUACCU